rnacentral:rRNA from 1 species
CAGCAGCCGCGGGAAUACGUAGGGUGCGAGCGUUAAUCGGAAUUACUGGGCGUAAAGCGUGCGCAGGCGGUGAUGUAAGACAGAUGUGAAAUCCCCGGGCUCAACCCGGGAACUGCAUUAGUGACUGCAUCGCUGGAGUGCGGCAGAGGGGAGUAGAAUUCCACGUGUAGCAGUGAAAUGCGUAGAGAUGUGGAGGAAUACCGGUGGCGAAGGCAGCCCCCUGGGCCAAUACUGACGCUCAUGCACGAAAGCGUGGGGAGCAAACAGGAUUAGAUACCCCCGUAGUCCCUGUCUCUUAUAC